UACGUAGGUGGCAAGCGUUGUCCGGAUUUACUGGGCGUAAAGAGCGCGCAGGCGGUCGUUCAAGUCGCGUGUGAAAGCCCCCGGCUCAACUGGGGAGGGUCACGCGAUACUGAUCGACUCGAAGGCAGGAGAGGGAAGUGGAAUUCCCGGUGUAGUGGUGAAAUGCGUAGAUAUCGGGGAGGAACACCAGUGGCGAAGGCGGGAUCUGGGCCAGUACUGACGCUGAGGAGCGAAAGCGUGGG
rnacentral:rRNA from 1 species